rnacentral:rRNA from 1 species
GACGUAGGGCGCGAGCGUUGUCCGGAUUUAUUGGGCGUAAAGAGCUCGUAGGCGGCUUGUCGCGUCGGCUGUGAAAACCCGCGGCUCAACUGUGGGCGGGCAGCUGAUACGGGCAGGCUGGAGUUCGGUAGGGGAGACUGGAAUUCCUGGUGUGAGCGGUGAAAUGCGCAGAUAUCAGGAGGAACACCGGUGGCGAAGGCGGGUCUCUGGGCCGGCCCUGACGCGUGACGACGGCGAAAGCGUGGGGAGUAAACAGG